GACGAACGCUGGCGGCGUGCUUAACACAUGCAAGUCGAACGGAAAGGCCCUGCUCUUGUUGGGUGCUCGAUUGCCGAACGGGUGAGUAACACGCGAGUAACCUGCCCUUGACUGUGGGAUAACUUCAGGAAACUGGGGCUAAUACCGGAUAGGAGCUCCUGCUGCAUGUGGGUGGUUGGAAAGUUUCGGCGGUUGGGGAUGUUCUGGCGGCUUAUCAGCUUGUUGGUGUGGUAGUGGUUUACCAGGGCUUUGACGGGUAGCCUGCCUGGGAGGUUGACCGGCCACCAUGGGCCUGCGGUAGGGACCAGAAUCCUAUGGGCCGCAGUAGGGGGGAAUAUUGCGCAAUGGCCGGACGCCUGAUACAGAGACGCUGCGUGCGGAAUGACGUGUUUUGGGUUGUAAACCGCUUUCUACUGUGACGAAGAGUGAGUGACGGUACUGGGUAAAGAAGCCCCGGCUAACUACGUG
rnacentral:rRNA from 1 species